rnacentral:lncRNA from 1 species
CCGCGGUCAUCUACGCAUAUGGAGAAAUGCAUGCCAAAUACAUACAUGUAUUUAUGUUUAUGUUUAUUGUUUAUAAGUAAAGGUUAAUAAGUGAUUAAGUAUGGUAUAACGGUACAAAAAUUAGAUAUCUGCGUCGUUCGUCGUCUGGUCUCGCACACAACCUUUUACGUCGGAGGUUGGAUAGAAACUCCCUUCGGCACUCUCUCGCCGAUCGGUUGUCCGCUCUCGCUCUCAUCUCGCCCUCCUUCGUCUUCUCUUUGCGUUUGCUCUCUUGUUUGGAAUUCGCAGUGAUGCGAAUUCGCCCUUGCUCAUUUUGGUGUUUUGUCUAGGGAUCGCAAUUGGCAAAACCCAGCUCACAUCCGGCCGUCCUGACUAUGCACUCGCCUCGAAUGCAUCGUCGCUAUCGUCGUCAUUGCUCGUGGACCAUGGCUUCAGGUACUCCGCACACGAAGAGGAGUGCUUUGGACCAUCGGAAUUGCCAACUUUUUUGACGUCGUAAGCAUUGUUAUGCUUCACCUUAAUGAUCUGGUAAGGACCCAAAAACUUUGGCUUAAGUUUGAGUCCGCUUCCAAACUGAGUCCUCUUUAUAGCAACUAGGUCGCCAACGUCGUAAUGUCUGGGUGGUUUACGUCGCAAGUUAUACGUCUUCUUGUUCUCGGCUUGCAGAUUCAGAAUUUGAGUUUUCGCUUUAGCCCGUAGCUCAUUGCGGUCGUCUUCAAAUGCAAUGAUGGACUCCUUCUGGAUCAAACUCUGAAGCUGCUGGUCAUCUUUGGUGCGCAUCUUGAUACCCAUCAUAAGCUCGAAAGGAGUUGUAUCGAUGCUUCUGGUGUACGUCGAGUUUAUUGCUCGCUGGACUCGAUCUACGUGCUUAAACCAUUUGGAUGGAUCGUCUACACUGAGCUUGGCUAGCACGGAGAUGAUCACUGAGUUGAGCCUUUCCACCUGCCCGUUUACCCGUGGCAGUCCGGUAGUCGUCUUCACCAGUUUAAUUUUUUCGUCUUCGCAGUACUGUAGGAAAUCUUGUGCGGUAAACGCCGAGCCUCUAUCUGAAAUGAUACAAACAGGGUUGCCAAACGUCACGCUUUGGCUGCGUAACUUUAAUAUGACCUCGUUAGAUGUAGUAGACUUUGUAGGGUAUAGCCAGCAAAACUUCGUGAAAGCGUCGAUAACAACAAGUAUGUGUUUGUAGCUCUUUCUGGUUGACUCCAGUGGACCCAAAAAGUCGAUGUGAUAGGUCUGCAGCGGCACGUCAUAUUUUUGCAGGGGGUUCAAAAGACCUUCUUGUUUACCACGCUUGCGAUUUACUAAUAUGCAAGGUAUGCAACAAUCGAUGUACUUCUUGAUUUUGUCGUNUUAAGUUUGAGUCCGCUUCCAAACUGAGUCCUCUUUAUAGCAACUAGGUCGCCAACGUCGUAAUGUCUGGGUGGUUUACGUCGCAAGUUAUACGUCUUCUUGUUCUCGGCUUGCAGAUUCAGAAUUUGAGUUUUCGCUUUAGCCCGUAGCUCAUUGCGGUCGUCUUCAAAUGCAAUGAUGGACUCCUUCUGGAUCAAACUCUGAAGCUGCUGGUCAUCUUUGGUGCGCAUCUUGAUACCCAUCAUAAGCUCGAAAGGAGUUGUAUCGAUGCUUCUGGUGUACGUCGAGUUUAUUGCUCGCUGGACUCGAUCUACGUGCUUAAACCAUUUGGAUGGAUCGUCUACACUGAGCUUGGCUAGCACGGAGAUGAUCACUGAGUUGAGCCUUUCCACCUGCCCGUUUGCCCGUGGCAGUCCGGUAGUCGUCUUCACCAGUUUAAUUUUUUCGUCUUCGCAGUACUGUAGGAAAUCUUGUGCGGUAAACGCCGAGCCUCUAUCUGAAAUGAUACAAACAGGGUUGCCAAACGUCACGCUUUGGCUGCGUAACUUUAAUAUGACCUCGUUAGAUGUAGUAGACUUUGUAGGGUAUAGCCAGCAAAACUUCGUGAAAGCGUCGAUAACAACAAGUAUGUGUUUGUAGCUCUUGCUGGUUGACUCCAGUGGACCCAAAAAGUCGAUGUGAUAGGUCUGCAGCGGCACAUCAUAUUUUUGCAGGGGGUUCAAAAGACCUUCUUGUUUACCACGCUUGCGAUUUACUAAUAUGCAAGGUAUGCAACAAUCGAUGUACUUCUUGAUUUUGUCGUCUAAAUUUGGUAUGUAAUACUCCUUGCAGAUUAACUCUUUCGUCUUCUUGAUAGCAAAGUGUCCUCUAUCGUGAGCCUUGCCGAUGAUAGUUUUCUGCAUAUCCUUUGGAAUCACCAUCAGUUCCACAUCUUUGACUAAUUUAUAGAGGAUUCCUGACUUUAUAAAGUAGUCUUCGUAUGGUUGGCUGUCGUCGUUGAUAAGCUUCAUGAUCGUCUUCAAGUGUUCGUCUAGUUUUUGCGCCUGUUCUAUGCCAACUAAAAUGCUUCCGUCGUUUAUGGACAUAAUGGGAUAUCGUGAAAGUGCGUCUACAUGGCGCAUUCGGGAUCCUGCGCGAUGCUCGACUUCGUAGUUGUACUCCUGCAAAAGCAUUUUCCAUCUUGCCACCCUUGUACACAGAUUCUGCUUCUCUAGUGUUUUGGUGAACACGUUGCAGUCCGUUAUAAUCUUAAAUGGAAUACCCAAAAGAUAAACUCGAAACUUCGUCAAUGCUUCAAUCACCGCAAGUAUUUCCAACUCAUAGCUCGUGUAUUUUCGUUGUGCAUCUGUCGUCUUCUUACUCAUGUAAUACACUGGAUGUAAGUGCCCAUCGUCUGGUGAUUUUUGCAUAAGCACGGCUCCAAAUCCAUCUAUAGAUGCAUCCGUAUGGAGCUCUGUCUCGUACUGCUGAUUGUAAAUGGCAAGCACUGGGUUUGAUGUCAAACAUUUCUUCAACACUCCAAUAGCGUUCUCUUCGUCUGGGCCAAUUACAAACUUAUCAUUGUUCUUCGUUAGGUCAGUCAAUGGUUUGGCUAUCACCGCGUAAUUGUAGAUAAACUUUCUAAAGUAUCCUGCAAGACCCAAAAAACUCUGAUGCUGUUUCAGGGUCUGCGGCGUCUUGAACUUCGAAACGGCUUCAAUCUUCAAUGGUGUCGGAUAUAGUUUCUUGUUCUCGAUAAUAUGGCCAAGAAACUGGAUUCGUGUUUGUAAAAAAUGACACUUUUUAAAAUUCAGCUCUAGCCCAUAUUCUUCGUACGUCUUGAGAACUUCUUUCAGGUUUGCUAGGGCUUCUAGCUAGUCUUUGGCUGGGAUAAUUACGUCGUCAACAUAUGGUAGUGCUAUACCUUUUCUAGUCAGUGAUCGAAAUAUUGCGCCAAUAUGUCUUUGGAAUACUCCUGGGGAACUCGACAAACCAAAUGGGACCUUGCGAAACUGGUAUUGUCCGCUUUGCGUCACAAAUGAGGUGUACUUCCUACUCUCUUCGGCCACAGGAACAUGGAAAAACCCAUUUUUCAAGUCAAUCGUACUGAAUACUACAGCGUCCUGCAAACGAUCUAGCUGGUCAUCUAUCAACGGCAAUGGGAAAUGAUCUUUUUCGAUGACUUUAUUGAUGCGUCUGAAGUCAAUACAUAGACGUUGCUUGCCGUCAUUCUUUUUUACUAGUACAACCGGACUCGUGAACUCGGAUUCUGAUUCUUCAAUUACCUCAUUCUGCAGCCAUUCAUCAACCUGGUCUUCUAUGAUACGUGUUUCAGUCAUAGCAAACCGCCGCGGCCGCGAGAAAAUUGGCGUUUCGUCUUUAAGAAUUAUUUUCAUUUCAAUGUUUGUUGUUUUUGAUUUUUCCGGUUUAUACGUCGUUACUAUUUCGAGAACUUCUUUUCGUGUAAU